AAAAACUUGUGCGGAACCUUACGCCUUGCAAAGCGCCUUUUCCAUGCUCCUUUUUUCUUCUAUAUGACAAAAGUGCCUUCACUAACAGCUUUUGAACAGAGACUUAUUUACAGUGAGAUGGAGGCCUUGGUGUUGGUGAGGGACAGACGGAGAGUGAGGAGGCGUGAGCAGCCUGCCUCCCAUGGCUCGAAAACAGGGAACCCCAGCAGGAAGGGGAGCAGCAAAAGCUGGUGGGGGAACCGGCGUUCCUGUUCUUCCUCAGCGGAGACCUGCGCCGGGCCUGGCUGCUGCUGGCACCCUGACUGCCCCAGAGGAGGCGCAUCUGGAACUCCGUGCUGAACACCUCCAGGAGCUCCGGCCGGGCCUGGAACCCUGCAGUGUUGGGGCAUAGGGUCAGGGCAGAGGCUGGGGUUCCUGUCCAGAGCCCUAGCAUUCUUCAGGACCCCCCUGUUAGGGACCUCCCCUCAACUCCGCCAGGGAUCCAACAAGGUUUGUGAAUCAACACGACCCUGUAGUUUAGCAUCUUUGUCCUGUUAUUUGCAGCAUAUAAUUUAAAAAUGACUAGACCAUAAAAUAUUAAUGUUAAAUAUGUUUGC
rnacentral:lncRNA from 1 species